GAUGAACGCUGGCGGUAUGCUUAACACAUGCAAGUCGAACGGACUCUUCGGAGUUAGUGGCGGACGGGUGAGUAACGCGUGAGAAUCUGGCUUUGGGUUCGGGACAACCACUGGAAACGGUGGCUAAUACCGGAUGUGCCGAGAGGUAAAAGAGAAAUUGCCUGAAGAUGAGCUCGCGUCUGAUUAGCUAGUUGGUGAGGUAAAGGCUCACCAAGGCAGCGAUCAGUAGCUGGUCUGAGAGGAUGACCAGCCACACUGGGACUGAGACACGGCCCAGACUCCUACGGGAGGAAGCAGGGGGGAAUGUUCCGGAAUGGGCGAAAGCCUGACGGAGCAAUACCGCGUGAGGGAAGAAGGCUCUUGGGUUGUAAACCUCUUUUCUUAGGGAAGAACAAAAUGACGGUACCUAAGGAAUCAGCAUCGGCUAACUCCGUG
rnacentral:rRNA from 1 species